UGGCCAGACUCCUACGGGAGGCAGCAGUGGGGGAUAUUGCACAAUGGGGGGAACCCUUAUGCAGCGACGCCGCGUGGGUGAAGAAGCGCCUCGGCGCGUAAAGCCCUGUCAGCAGGGAAGAAAAUGACGGUACCUGAAGAAUAAGCUCCGGCUAACUACGUGCCAGCAGCCGCGGUAAUACGUAGGGAGCAAGCGUUGUUCGGAAUGACUGGGCGUAAAGGGUGCGUAGGCGGUUGUACAAGUUAGAAGUGAAAUACCCAGGGCUUAACUCGGGUGCUGCUUCUAAAACUGUAUGACUUGAGUGCAGUAGAGGUUAGUGGAAUUCCUAGUGUAGCGGUGGAAUGCGUAGAUAUUAGGAGGAACACCAGAGGCGAAGGCGGCUAACUGGACUGCAACUGACGCUGAGGCACGAAAGUGUGGGGAGCAAACAGGAUUAGAUACCCGAGUAAA
rnacentral:rRNA from 1 species